CUUUUUUGUUUUCAUUUUGAUGAUUACAGCUUGCUGCUCAUCAAAAUCAAAAAUUAGUAUCUCAAAUUAUUAGAAUAUUUAAUUUCAAGUUCUAUUAAAUUACCAUUCUCAGGGUAUAAAUACUGGGUUUAGGUCAGUAAUCCCAAAAGCAGUCAUGGGAAAGUCUGCUGACUUGACAGUUGUCCAGAAGACGAUCAUCAAGACCCUCUACAAUGAGGGUAAGCCACAGAGGGUCAUUGCUGAAAGAGCUGGCUGUUCGCAGAGUGCUGUGCCAAAGCAUGUUCAAAAAGUGUGGUAGGAAAAGGUGUAAAAGUGAAAGGAAUGACCGCAGGCUUGAGAAGAUUGUCAGGCGAAGCCGAUUUAAGAACUUAGGAGAGCUUCAAAAGGAGUGGACUGAAGCUGGAGUCAGUGCAUCAAGAGCCACCGCACACAGACGUCUUCAGGAAAUGGGCUACAACUGUCACAUUCCACGUACCAAGCCACUUCUGAACCAAAGACAAUGGGUGGGUUUUUGUUAAAUGUGAGCAAAAUCAUCACAACUAAAAGAACCAAAGACUUAAAGUACUUCAGUCUGUGUGCAUUGAAUUUAUUUAAUACACGAGUUCCACAAUUUGAGUUGAAUUACUGAAAUAAAUGAACUUUUCCACAACAUUCUAAUUUAUUGAGAUGCACCUGUAUAUCUAAGAAUAAAGAACAGUAACAGAUUUUGGAAAUCUCUAAUAUACUGUCAGAUUUGAUGACCAUGCUGUAUGUCUGUAGCUAGUCACAUCAGACCAAAAUGCUUUCUUGAUUAUGAAACAAAGGAUAUUAGACAUUACCAGAGUGGAUUUGGUUAACAUUAAAGCCAUUUUGUGUGAAAUAGAGGGGGUAACAGAUUUCAGUAACUUGUACUGCCUUGUCAGAUUCAGUGACCAUAUUUCGGUAUAACUCUGUUGUUGAUUUAUAUGACCUGCCUGCUGUAUGUAUGUUGCUGUUCACAUCAGGGCAAUCAGUCCAAAAAUGCUUUCUAAAAUACAGAAAAGGGAAGUUUAGACAUCACCAGAGUGAAUUUGAGCAGGCAGUCUGUCCAAAAUAAUAAUAAUAAUGUAAAUUAACAACAAAAACUAUAUUAUUAGUGUAUUGUAUUGGAUGUAGGCCUAUAAAUAACACUCAGAAAGGCAAAACAAAAACAAACCCCCCCCCCAAAAAAAAAAAUGAUAAUAAUAACCUGGAUGUGAGGGAUCACGUGAUGACGUAAAAGAAACGCUGAAUCUGUUUUGAGACCUGCUCGAAAGAAUCGGUUCCUGGAAAUGAAUCCAACCUCUAUCAACAGUGCUCGAAGACGACAGGUGCCUUAAUUACCCAUCUCGGUCAUGUGAAAUAUGUCAAGGUUACCAACACUGUUUCAGUGAUUAUUACUUCGAUGCUAUUUAGAGAUAUGAAGCUUUAUUUUCCAGUAAUAUAUACUUUAGUAGUCUUUUUCUCCACAUAUGUGUACGCGUUACGAGCUGCGCCAAAGCACGCGAGCAAUUCGACGUCCUUGUCAGAACUGGACAUAAGAUUUGGAGAAGAUUUUGACGGAUCUGCUGUCAGUCUUGGCUCGCCGUAUUUGCAACUUCCCAUUUUCCAGCAUUCUAAAAUCCCACUUCUGGAGAAAGAGCAGUUCAGUCCAAUGCGUGGAUCUGGCCGUGAACAACUGCCAGAAGUGACGAAAAAAGUCCUCAUUCCGCGCGCCACAGUACGUGCGAGCUCCCGCCGCCGCGGUCGAUCACAAGGAGUAAAUGUCGUUUGUCAAAUGAAGAAAAUGAUCGUUAAAGUUAAUAAACAAAUAUUAGGACUCGAUGGCUUGCAGUCUGAGUUAAAACUGGGAACAUGUGACAUCAGCAAGACUACAAAGCACUAUCAUGUGUUUAUUUACGACAUGGAUCAGUGUGCCAGUAAGAGACAGUUAAUAAACAAUAGAGUAACAUAUUCCAACAUACUGCGCUACUCUCCAGUGAUGGACCUGGGGCCAAUCCGCCGUGCCAUGCCUUUCUCACUCCCUGUUGAGUGUCACUUUAACAGAUAUCAUUACUCAUACAAAAUUGGUUACAUACCACAAGUCAGACUUCAGAACCACUUCAAGCCCCUGAGAACAGUGGACAGCGUUGUACUUACCCCCCGUGAUGAGCUGUGGAGAAGAUUAUCCCCCACAGAGGAGUACACCAUUGGUCACCCCAUGUACUUUCAGGCAGACGGACCCCCUCUUGCUGAGGACGAGAGGCUGUUUGUGGAUUCCUGUUAUGUGACUAUCAGCAGUUCUCAUUUGUCCAUGCCACGAUUUACAGUCAUUGAAAACCAUGGGUGCAUGAUUGAUAGCAUGAGCAGUAAGUGGUCCAGAUUCAUUCAAAGUGGACAAAGGAAUGUUGUGCGGUUCUCAUUGGAUGCAUUUCUAUUCCACGGGAUGUUGGGAAAGCAUCUUUACAUGCAUUGUGAAAUAUCUGUCGGAAGCUUAAAUCCAACGGCAAGUGCAAAGUCCUGCACUUACAACCAGUCAACAAAACGAUGGGAAGAAUUAUACAGUUCAAAUGGUGUGUGCCUCUGCUGCGACUCCACGUGUCUGUCUUCUGACCUGUCUGGUGAGAAACCUCAAGUGCUUUUAUCAAUUUUAAUAGUCAGUUGGUUUUCAUGAAGUAUGUUGUUGGUAUAUAGAUCUUUUCAUAGCAUCAGAGGUCUCCGAACUCAGUCCUGGAGGGCCACUGUCCUGCAGAGUUCAGCUCCAACCCCAAUUAAACACACCUGAACCAGCUAAUCAAGGUCUAAUUAGGCGUACUAGAAACUUCCAGGCAGGUGUGUUGAGGCAAGUUGGAGCUAAACUCUGCAGGACAGUGGUCCAGGACCGAGUUUGAAGACCCCUGGCAUUGAGAUGUCCAGUAAGGUCAUCACCAGUGAGCCCUGGAUCAUGGAGUCUGAUUUAAACAUAUUCGAGGAAGAGCAAACAACUUCAUUCCUGCCAGAGGAGGUGGGAACAGGCUUUGUUCAAGUAAUAACCCCACCAGUAGC